rnacentral:rRNA from 1 species
UCGGAAGGAUCAUUAUCGAGUUUUGAAUGGGUUGUCUGCUGGCUCGCAAGGGCAUGUGCACGCCUGUCUCAUCCACUCUCAACUUCUGUGCACUUUUCAUAGGCCGGCUUGUGGGUGCGUUCGCGCACUUGUAGGUGUCGGGCUUAUGCUUUACUACAAACGAUUCAGUUUUAGAAUGUCAUACUUUGCUAUAACGCAAUUAUAUACAACUUUCAGCAACGGAUCUCUUGGCUCUCGCAUCGAUGAAGAACGCAGCGAAAUGCGAUAAGUAAUGUGAAUUGCAGAAUUCAGUGAAUCAUCGAAUCUUUGAACGCACCUUGCGCUCCUUGGUAUUCCGAGGAGCAUGCCUGUUUGAGUCUCAUGGAAUUCUCAACCUUCAGCUUUAUUGAUGAAGGCUUGGACUUGGAGGUCGUGCCGGCUCUCGUAGUCGGCUCCUCUGAAAUGCAUUAGUGCGAACGUUACCAGCCGCUUCAGCGUGAUAAUUAUCUGCGUUGCUGUGGAGGGUAUUCUAGUGUUCACGCUUCUAACCGUCUUCGGACAAAUUUCUGAACUCUGAGCUCAAAUCAGGUAGGACUACCCGCUGAACUUAAGCA